UGGAAGUGAUGCAAUUGAGAACUGGGGUUUUGAGUGAAUGUUCAUUUUUAUUGUAUGCAUGUAAAUAGUUUUUAUCAUGUUUAGUUAACGUUGGUGUGCUUGAGUGUAUGUCUAUUAAUUAUAGUUAUUUAAGGGGGCCCUUAAACUAUGUUGCAGAUUUCGGAGUGCAUCUGAGGAAUGUUGUGUUUUUUUAUAGGGCUUUAGUACAACAUUACCUGUGAUUAAAGUCCUAAAUUGGCUCCCCUUUUAUAACCCACACCCCAUUAUUUCUCUAACGGGUACAUGGUAAUCCUUGUACUUGUGGUCUGAUCCAG